rnacentral:rRNA from 1 species
CCCAGACAGCCAGGAUGUUGGCUUAGAAGCAGCCAUCAUUUAAAGAAAGCGUAAUAGCUCACUGGUCGAGUCGGCCUGCGCGGAAGAUGUAACGGGGCUAAACCAUGCACCGAAGCUGCGGCAGCGACACUCAGGUGUUGUUGGGUAGGGGAGCGUUCUGUAAGCCUGCGAAGGUGUGUCGUGAGGCAUGCUGGAGGUAUCAGAAGUGCGAAUGCUGACAUAAGUAACGAUAAAGCGGGUGAAAAGCCCGCUCGCCGGAAGACCAAGGGUUCCUGUCCAACGUUAAUCGGGGCAGGGUGAGUCGACCCCUAAGGCGAGGCCGAAAGGCGUAGUCGAUGGGAAACGGGUUAAUAUUCCCGUACUUGGUGUUACUGCGAAGGGGGGACGGAGAAGGCUAUGUUGGCCGGGCGACGGUUGUCCCGGUUUAAGCGUGUAGGUGUGUGUUCCAGGUAAAUCCGGUUCACUUUAACACUGAGGCGUGAUGACGAGGCACUACGGUGCUGAAGCAACAAAUGCCCUGCUUCCAGGAAAAGCCUCUAAGCAUCAGGUAACAUCAAAUCGUACCCCAAACCGACACAGGUGGUCAGGUAGAGAAUACCAAGGCGCUUGAGAGAACUCGGGUGAAGGAACUAGGCAAAAUGGUGCCGUAACUUCGGGAGAAGGCACGCUGA